rnacentral:rRNA from 1 species
AGAGUUUGAUCCUGGCUCAGGACGAACGCUGGCGGCGUGCCUAAUACAUGCAAGUCGAACGCAUUUUCUUUCACCGUAGCUUGCUACACCGGAAGAAAAUGAGUGGCGAACGGGUGAGUAACACGUGGGUAACCUGCCCAUCAGCGGGGGAUAACACUUGGAAACAGGUGCUAAUACCGCAUAAUUCCAUCUACCGCAUGGUAGAUGGAUGAAAGGCGCUUUUGCGUCACUGAUGGAUGGACCCGCGGUGCAUUAGCUAGUUGGUGGGGUAACGGCCUACCAAGGCUGCGAUGCAUAGCCGACCUGAGAGGGUGAUCGGCCACACUGGGACUGAGACACGGCCCAGACUCCUACGGGAGGCAGCAGUAGGGAAUCUUCGGCAAUGGACGCAAGUCUGACCGAGCAACGCCGCGUGAGUGAAGAAGGUUUUCGGAUCGUAAAACUCUGUUGUUAGAGAAGAACAAGGAUGAGAGUGGAAAGUUCAUCCCUUGACGGUAUCUAACCAGAAAGCCACGGCUAACUACGUGCCAGCAGCCGCGGU